rnacentral:rRNA from 1 species
UACGAAAAGGGCAAGCGUUGUUCGGAUUUAUUGGGCGUAAAGGGUGCGUAGGCGGUUUGGCAAGUCUGAUGUGAAAUCUAUGGGCUCAACCCAUAGUCUGCAUCAGAAACUGCCGGGCUUGAGUAUGGGAGAGGUGAGUGGAAUUUCCGGUGUAGCGGUGAAAUGCGUAGAUAUCGGAAGGAACACCUGUGGCGAAAGCGGCUCACUGGACCAUAACUGACGCUGAUGCACGAAAGCUAGGGGAGCAAACAGG